GGUGGAAGCGUAGUGGUUAAUGAGCUGGGCUAGCACCUGAGAGUUGUAGGUUCAAUUCCUGGCUUCCAUCG
rnacentral:tRNA from 1 species